rnacentral:rRNA from 1 species
GACGAACGCUGGCGGCGUGCUUAACACAUGCAAGUCGAACGGGUCGGCCCUGUUUUUUGCGGGGUGGGUCUGUGGCGAACGGGGGAGUAACACGUGAGUAACCUUCCCCUCACUUCUGGAUAACCGCUUGAAAGGGGGGCUAAUACGGGGAGGUCUUGCUGUGCCGCAUGGUGUGGCUGGGAAAGAUUCACUUUUGUGGUGUUUCGGUGGGGGAUGGGCUCGCGGCCUAUCUGCUUGUUGGUGGGGUGAUUGCCUGCGACGGCUUUGACGGGCAGCCGGCGGGGGGGGGUGGGCGGUACUGUUGGGGCUGCGCGACGCACCCGCCUCCGGCGGGCGGCAGUAGUGGGGGGUAUUGCACAAUGGGCGGAAGCCUGAUGCAGCGCCGUCGCGUGAGGGAUGGAGGCCUUCUGGUUGUGAACCUCUUUCGCCGGUGAAGAAGGUCCUGCUUUUCGUUGUGGGGUUGGCGGUUGCCGGGUCAUGAAGCGCCGGCUAACUACGUG